CACGUAGGGUGCGAGCGUUGUCCGGAAUUAUUGGGCGUAAAGAGCUCGUAGGCGGUGUGUCGCGUCGGCCGUGAAAACCUGGGGCUUAACUCUGGGCUUGCGGUCGAUACGGGCAUCACUGGAGUUCGGCAGGGGAGACUGGAACUCCUGGUGUAGCGGUGAAAUGCGCAGAUAUCAGGAGGAACACCGGUGGCGAAGGCGGGUCUCUGGGCCGAUACUGACGCUGAGGAGCGAAAGCGUGGGGAGCGAACAGG
rnacentral:rRNA from 1 species